rnacentral:rRNA from 1 species
UGAUGGCGACCGGCGCACGGGUGAGUAACACGUAUCCAACCUGCCGAUGACUCGGGGAUAGCCUUUCGAAAGAAAGAUUAAUACCCGAUGGCAUAGUUCUUCCGCAUGGUAGAACUAUUAAAGAAUUUCGGUCAUCGAUGGGGAUGCGUUCCAUUAGGUUGUUGGCGGGGUAACGGCCCACCAAGCCUUCGAUGGAUAGGGGUUCUGAGAGGAAGGUCCCCCACAUUGGAACUGAGACACGGUCCAAACUCCUACGGGAGGCAGCAGUGAGGAAUAUUGGUCAAUGGACGAGAGUCUGAACCAGCCAAGUAGCGUGAAGGAUGACUGCCCUAUGGGUUGUAAACUUCUUUUAUACGGGAAUAAAGUGAGGCACGUGUGCCUUUUUGUAUGUACCGUAUGAAUAAGGAUCGGCUAACUCCGUGCCAGCAGCCGCGGUAAUACGGAGGAUCCGAGCGUUAUCCGGAUUUAUUGGGUUUAAAGGGAGCGUAGGCGGACGCUUAAGUCAGUUGUGAAAGUUUGCGGCUCAACCGUAAAAUUGCAGUUGAUACUGGGUGUCUUGAGUACAGUAGAGGCAGGCGGAAUUCGUGGUGUAGCGGUGAAAUGCUUAGAUAUCACGAAGAACUCCGAUUGCGAAGGCAGCUUGCUGGACUGUAACUGAC